ACGCACGCUGGCGGCGUGCCUAAUACAUGCAAGUAGAACGCUGAAGAGAGGAGCUUGCUCUUCUUGGAUGAGUUGCGAACGGGUGAGUAACGCGUAGGUAACCUGCCUUGUAGCGGGGGAUAACUAUUGGAAACGAUAGCUAAUACCGCAUAACAAUGGAUGACACAUGUCAUUUAUUUGAAAGGGGCAAUUGCUCCACUACAAGAUGGACCUGCGUUGUAUUAGCUAGUAGGUGAGGUAAUGGCUCACCUAGGCGACGAUACAUAGCCGACCUGAGAGGGUGAUCGGCCACACUGGGACUGAGACACGGCCCAGACUCCUACGGGAGGCAGCAGUAGGGAAUCUUCGGCAAUGGGGGCAACCCUGACCGAGCAACGCCGCGUGAGUGAAGAAGGUUUUCGGAUCGUAAAGCUCUGUUGUAAGUCAAGAACGGGUGUGAGAGUGGAAAGUUCACACUGUGACGGUAGCUUACCAGAAAGGGACGGCUAACUACGUG
rnacentral:rRNA from 1 species